UGGGGGAUAUUGCACAAUGGGCGAAAGCCUGAUGCAGCGACGCCGCGUGGGGGAUGAAGGCCUUCGGGUUGUAAACUUCUUUUGCUCUGAACAAGGCAUGCUAAUGGGUGUGUUGAGUGUAGGGGUUGAUUAGCGCCGGCUAACUACGUGCCAGCAGCCGCGGUAAUACGUAGGGCGCGAGCGUUGUCCGGAAUUAUUGGGCGUAAAGGGCUUGUAGGUGGCUGGUUGCGUCUGUCGUGAAAGCUCAUGGCUUAACUGUGGGUUUGUGGUGGGUACGGGCUGGCUUGAGUGCAGUAGGGGAGGCUGGAAUUCCUGGUGUAGCGGUGGAAUGCGCAGAUAUCAGGAGGAAUACCGGUGGCGAAGGCGGGUCUCUGGGCUGUUACUGACACUGAGGAGCGAAAGCAUGGGGAGCGAACAGG
rnacentral:rRNA from 1 species